UACGAAGGUGGCUAGCGUUGUUCGGAUUUAUUGGGCGUAAAGGGUCCGCAGGCGGUUUGGAAAGUCAGGUGUGAAAUCCCACAGCUCAACUGUGGACACGCAUUUGAAACUUCCAGACUAGAGUGUGAGAGGGGUGAAUGGAAUUUCCAGUGUAGGGGUGAAAUCCGUAGAUAUUGGAAAGAACACCGGCCGCGAAGGCGAUUCACUGGCUCAUUACUGACGCUCAGGGACGAAAGCCAGGGGAGCAAACGGG
rnacentral:rRNA from 1 species